CCUACGGGUGGCAGCAGUGGGGGAUAUUGCACAAUGGGGGAAACCCUGAUGCAGCGACGCCGCGUGGGUGAAGAAGCGCCUCGGCGCGUAAAGCCCUGUCAGCAGGGAAGAAAAUGACGGUACCUGAAGAAGAAGCCCCGGCUAACUACGUGCCAGCAGCCGCGGUAAUACGUAGGGGGCAAGCGUUAUCCGGAUUUACUGGGUGUAAAGGGGGCGCAGACGGCGAUGCAAGCCAGGAGUGAAAGCCCGGGGCCCAACCCCGGGACGGCUCUUGGAACUGCGUGGCGAGAGUGCAGGAGGGGAAGGCGGAAUCCCUGGUGGAGCGGUGAAAUGCGUAGAUAGCAGGAGGAACACCGGUGGCGAAGGCGGCCUGCUGGACUGCAACUGACGUUGAGGCCCGAAGGCGUGGGGAGCAAACAGGAUUAGAUACCCUGGUAGUC
rnacentral:rRNA from 1 species